rnacentral:rRNA from 1 species
AGUGAACGCUGGCGGCGUGCCUAAUACAUGCAAGUCGAACGAAGUGGCGCACGGGUGUGUAAUAUAUAGUUAAUCUGCCCUACACAGAGGAACAACAGUUGGAAACGACUGCUACUACCUCAUAGUGUAGGAUGAGACUAUAUCGUAUCAGCUAGUUGGUAAGGUAAUGGCUUACCACGGCUAUGACGCGUAACUGGUCUGAGAGGAUGAGCAGCCAACUUCGAAGGGAGGCACCGUUCAGAAAUCUGCGGGAGGCAGCGGUAGGGUAUAUUGCGCAAUGGGCGGAAGCCAGGAGGGGCAACGGCGUGUGGAGCAUGACAAUUUGGGGGGCGUAACAUUAUUUUAUCACGAAAGCGGUACCUAAUGAAUAAGCACCGGCUAACUCCGUGCCAGCAGCCGCGGUAAUAC